UUAUAGCAAAUCACAUGACCGCUUUCUGGAAACAACAGCUCGGUAUUCCCACAGCUCAUCAAACAAGGGGGAUUAUUAUUAUUAUUGAGGGGGUGUGGCUUGAACACAAGCCUGUUUUCUCCUACUUAUCCUGCUUUUUUUAUAUCUUUGUUGGUCUGGUUAACGUUUCCUGUCCGACCAAAACAACCCUUCAGACCAACAGGAAAACUCCCAGUGCUCGUGAGUGAAUGACCACCACUGACCUUUAGGGAUUUAUCACAAUGGAUCAAACAGUGACUUACAGACAGCGGCAUCACUGGCGCUGAAAACCUCCAGAUUAUGAUACCAUGGGCCUCCAGGCACAGCCGUGAAAGAGCCCUCCUACCUUCUCUCUUCUGUGUGGGAGCAACACCCCCCUGACUGAAGCAGACACAGGAUGUAAACAAACAACGCACCCAUGUGUCCGCUGAAGAUUCCUCUGUGGUUAUUCUGCAUCUAUUUACGAUUCUUCUGUGUCUCUCACCAACAAUCAAUGUGUUGUCACAGUCACCUCAGACGGUGGCUCGGACCCAGGACCCCCACCAACACCCUUGUGUGACAAUAAGGCCUCAAUAAGGACACUCAAACAGUGCUUUGUUCAAAAACACACCAUGUGUCAGAGAGACUUAUGACCAGACAUAAAAAGGCUUCUAUUGCUGCCCAGGUUUGUCUUUUGCUUACAUAUGUCCGUAUUUUGCUUUUACUAAACUAAUUUUGGAAAAGUCGUUCAUGGAGCACAUAUUCAAAGGCUCCAGGCAAGGGCUCUGCCACGGGAGCCAGGGCCAAGUCCAAAAGGCCACAGCAGACACUAUCAAUAGUGGGAUGAGUCUCCGCCAGCCUCCACCCAGUGAAAAGAACAUUUAUUUCUGCAGAACCAGAGAGAAACCAACAUCAGCUGCCAGAACCACCUUCUCUGGCCUGCAAGCAGCAGCAUGAGACUGCUGUGACCUUACCGCUGACCUGGGGAGGAAGUUCCUAGAAUGUGAUGCCGUAACAACACUGAGGUCAGACAAGAUGUCCUGGAAGUUUGCAAGCAGAUCAAUUUCUAGAACUCAGGGUCCUGAGAAAUGUGCCAAUGAGGCCUGUGAGACGAAAAUGGAAAAGUAUGGUCAGCUUGUGCCUGAGAAACAGGUUUAAACCGGUUGAGAGGCGAUGCAGCGGGUUUGCAGGUCAGUCCCUCUGGCGGAUCCACAACAUGCAGGCCAUAGCAGGUGCCACGAGGCAAUUGGAAUUGGAGAUGACCACUGAGGAAGCAGAAUUGCUUCCAAGGUAGCUGUGAAUCCAGGGACGGGGGCCAUGGGGCAGCACUAUGGGUCACAUUGAACUCAGGAAGGUCUUCAGGGCGAUGCUGCAAAGGUCUCUGAGUGGCACAGAGAGAGUCCUGUCUUGAAGCCAAUGGUCCACGUCCAACCUGACAGCGCUUGAGAGGAUGUGCAGGGAAGACAAAUAAACAAAUCCAGGUGUGCAAAGAUUGUGGGGUCAUAACCAAUAGAACUGAAGAUGAAGUCACUGUCAAAGUAUGUGUUCGCUCUGUCAUUACGGGAAACUGGGUGGAGAUUGACGGGAAAAACUAUUUGAGGAUAGUUUACCACACUUUAUAAGAAAAGUGGAAACAAAUAAUCUCUGUAUAUCUGGGAAUAUAAAGAAAUAUCAGCAUUGAUCAGAGCAAAGAAAGGAACCGAGAUAAAAUAUUGUGUUUUUACAUAAAUUCAGAUAAAAAAGAUUAAAGUAAUUGAGAAAUCUACAGCAAAUCAAAAAAGACACAUCAUCCUAACUUGAUUCAUGAAAGUAUCUGAGAAAAAAGCCCUGAUAUUUAUUGUUUCAGUGUUUUUCAUUUAGAGCCCAUGAGCCGCCUGUACCCAUGUUCAUGACUCAUAAUUUGCAAUAAAGCAACUGUUAUUGUGUUGUCA